rnacentral:lncRNA from 1 species
GGAAAAUAAAAGGCACAUACAUACUUCUGAGAAAUACCACUUUAGGCUCUCUCUAGGUUAAGGGACAAGGCAGCGUAUCGUCGAUACAUAUCAAAUAUCUCUGAAGUGAACAGCAUCGCUUCCUGUCCUCCAACUCCAGCAGUUACUUCCAUGACAAGAUCACUGUUGUCUGUUUCUUCUGAAGGAAUCAAAAGCAAUACUAUCUGUGAAUGCAAAAACACUCGUCUAAGAUCUCCCCCUUCAAUCCAAAACUGACACUGUAUAAAAUGCCAUGCAAUAAUUUACCUACUCUGCAUUCUCCUGCAUUAACUCACAGACUCUCCAGAGGGCUGUCUGCUCAGCGCCUUCUGACAACCCUUGAAUUAAUACGCAGGAAUAGGGAGGGGAGGAUGCUGCAUUGCCAAAAGCCUCCCUGUGUCUGUUCGCAGAAACAAAAGAUUUCUUUCAAGACCCACAGAACUUCAUAGAACUUUUC